rnacentral:rRNA from 1 species
GACGAACGCUGGCGGCGUGCCUAAUACAUGCAAGUAGAACGCUGAAGAGAGGAGCUUGCUCUUCUUGGAUGAGUUGCGAACGGGUGAGUAACGCGUAGGUAACCUGCCUUGUAGCGGGGGAUAACUAUUGGAAACGAUAGCUAAUACCGCAUAACAAUGGAUGACACAUGUCAUUUAUUUGAAAGGGGCAAUUGCUCCACUACAAGAUGGACCUGCGUUGUAUUAGCUAGUAGGUGAGGUAAUGGCUCACCUAGGCGACGAUACAUAGCCGACCUGAGAGGGUGAUCGGCCACACUGGGACUGAGACACGGCCCAGACUCCUACGGGAGGCAGCAGUAGGGAAUCUUCGGCAAUGGGGGCAACCCUGACCGAGCAACGCCGCGUGAGUGAAGAAGGGUUUCGGAUCGUAAAGUUCUGUUGUAAGUCAAGAACGGGUGUGAGAGUGGAAAGUUCACACUGUGACGGUAGCUUACCAGAAAGGGACGGCUAACUACGUG